rnacentral:rRNA from 1 species
UACGAGGGGGGCAAAUGUUGUUCGGAAUCACUGGGCGUAAAGGGAGCGUAGGCGGGUGUUUAAGUUAGGUGUUUAAUCCCGGGGCCCAACCCCGGACUUGCACCUAAAACUGGACAUCUUGAAUAGGGGAGAGGUCGGUGGAAUUGGAGGUGUAGCGGUGGAAUGCGUAGAGAUCUCCAAGAACACCAGUUGCGAAGGCGGCCGACUGGACCCAUAUUGACGCUGAGGCUCGAAAGCAUGGGGAGCAAACAGG